UACGUAGGGGGCAAGCGUUGUCCGGAAUCAUUGGGCGUAAAGAGCGUGUAGGCGGCUCGAUAAGUCUGCUGUGAAAGUCCAGGGCUCAACCCUGGAAGGCCGGUGGAAACUGGCGGGCUAGAGUCCGGAAGAGGCGAGUGGAAUUCCCGGUGUAGCGGUGAAAUGCGCAGAUAUCGGGAGGAACACCAAUGGCGAAGGCAGCUCGCUGGGACGGUACUGACGCUAAGGCGCGAAAGCGUGGGGAGCGAACAGG
rnacentral:rRNA from 1 species